rnacentral:rRNA from 1 species
AUUGAACGCUGGUGGCAUGCCUUACACAUGCAAGUCGAACGGUAACAGGUUAAGCUGACGAGUGGCGAACGGGUGAGUAAUGUAUCGGAACGUGCCCAGUCGUGGGGGAUAACGUAGCGAAAGCUACGCUAAUACCGCAUACGAUCUACGGAUGAAAGCGGGGGAUCGCAAGACCUCGCGCGAUUGGAGCGGCCGAUAUCAGAUUAGGUUGUUGGUGAGGUAAAAGCUCACCAAGCCUGCGAUCUGUAGCUGGUCUGAGAGGACGACCAGCCACACUGGAACUGAGACACGGUCCAGACUCCUACGGGAGGCAGCAGUGGGGAAUUUUGGACAAUGGACGCAAGUCUGAUCCAGCAAUGCCGCGUGCAGGACGAAGGCCUUCGGGUUGUAAACUGCUUUUGUACGGAACGAAACGGUGAGCUCUAAUACAGUUUGCUAAUGACGGUACCGUAAGAAUAAGCACCGGCUAACUACGUGCCAGCAGCCGCAGUAA